CGGGGUAUAGCUCAAGUUGUAGAGAGCAUGCUUAGCAUGCAUGAGGUCCUGGGUUCAAUCCCCUGUACCUCCU
rfam:Camelus ferus unplaced genomic scaffold scaffold1652, whole genome shotgun sequence.